rnacentral:rRNA from 1 species
CCCUUAGAUGUUCUGGGCCGCACGCGCGCUACACUGAUGCAUUCAACGAGUCCAACCUUGACCGAGAGGUCCGGGUAAUCUUUGAAACUGCAUCGUGAUGGGGCUAGAUUAUUGCAAUUAUUAAUCUUCAACGAGGAAUGCCUAGUAAGCGUGAUUCAUCAAAUCGCGUUGAUUACGUCCCUGCCCUUUGUACACACCGCCCGUCGCUCCUACCGAUUGAGUGUGUUGGUGAGGAGUUUGGAGUGGCCUCGGAAGGUGGUUCGCCACCGUCCGUAGCUGAGAAGUUCUCCAAACCGCCCCACUUAGAGGAAGGAGAAGUCGUAACA